AUUCUAAAUUAAGACAGUGAUGAGUGAAUAUGUGUUUUUCUUUUCUGCUAAUUGUGUUGAAAGAAAAGUUUAAGAAAGAACGGUGAUCAUAUUUGGAAACUGAAAAUUCAAUAAAAGAUACUAGUUUAGAAUCAUUGAGACAUUUUAAGUUGCAAGAUGUCCAGAGUGUUGACGUACUUAAAAAGACACAAAGUCUAGCAGAGUCUCAUUUGCUACUCAUAAAGGAAGGUGAACUGUUAAGCCCAUUCUGUUGCAAUGCCAGAAGAUGCAUUAGUAAACACCACAUGCUUGAGCCUAUCUCUAUUAUUAAGACAGCGACAGUCACUACUGCUCUCAUGGCAUCUGUGUCUGUUCUCUCCCAAAACCCGUGAUGUGUCCAGUUGAACUUUAAUUGUUCACUGAGAGAAAAGCUGCUUUUAUGAUUUACUGAAAAACAAAACAACAACAAAAGAGAAAGCCCAAACCACAAACGCACACACACACAAAACAACUCCAAAACAAAAUGAACCCACCUCACCCCUUCCGACCCCACCCAGAAGUUAACUAACACAAAUAUCUCAAGAAACAAAUAAUGAGCAGUGUACUGUUUUUAUUGUACUCCCUACCUAAGUACUCCCAUUUAUCAUCCUGACCUGACAGAAGGUUAGGCCAGAACCAAAGAUCUUUGUUUCUAAAGGACCAUUCCCAUCCUUCCCAGAUUACUGACUGUAAUUUGGUCAUGCUCACUUCUCCUCACUUCCUCACACGUUCGGCCAAAUACAUCACAGAUGAACCUGAUUACACAAAGAAGCCAUACAAUACUUUCCUUCCAUAUUGUAUGAGAAAACCAUCAUGGGCUGUACUUAGUUGCCUAAUCUGUAGUGAGCUAAGAUGCUCUUAUGUUGGUAAAUUUGUAAUGUCUAUCUAGAAAAUAAAUAAAAAUUAUACAGAAAAGAAUUAAAUCCAACAAAUUCUCAACCUAUUAACUGGCAGAAGUCCAUCAGUUACCUCAGAACACUGCUCCCUUCUCAGUCUUUGCCUUCUUUUAUAGAAAAAAAUGGUGUACAAAAAGGCAAGACAACAUCUGGACUGCACUACAGGGCUUAACCCUCUUCCAGGGACCAAAGAAAACUCCUAAAAUUCAGAGCAGAAACAAUACCAAGUCACAUAAUAAGCAAGCUGAUCAACACAAUUCUUAAAAGUUUGCUUGAGGAAAAAGAAAUAAUCUGCAGCUGAUUCUGAAACAAAAGAGAUGAAAUAAGUAACAGAUCAGGAUGACUGUUGCUACUCAGUAGUGCUGAGGAUCUUUUGCUUUCUUGUGGCAGGGGAACUAUAGAGAAGGCAUGGGGUGCUGGGUGGGGUUGGAGCCAUGACAGAUGGCCUGGAUUGGCCAAGGGGAUAUUCCAUACCUUGUGAUGUCAUGUGAAAGGCCAUAAAGCUGUGGAUUGUUGGUUAAGGGAGGUGGCUGCUGCUCAGGGAUUAGCUGGGUAUUACUGGGAGUCAGCUGGCAGGUGACUAUUCCUUUCCUCUCCCUCCCAUCCACUGCGUGGGAAGCGAACAAGUGGCUGCCUGUUUGUUUAGAUAACAACAAUGUAGUACUAUCAUUUUAAAGUAGUGUGAAAUUUAAGAAAUUUCAGACACAUUAUUAAAGCCUGGGAAUAUAAGAGUGAAAUUCUUAGCUUGAGCAGUGAAGACUACAACACCUGGAAUUCAUUUGCAGUGAUUAAAUAUCUGUAUUGUUACACAGAAGUGAAAUCCAAUUCCAUGAACUUUUGCAAAAAAUUUCAGAAAGCCUCAGAUUUAUUAUUGGAAAGACAAGGAAGCAGAGUGCUCAAAGACUGACAGACUGAAAGUGAUGAAAACACGAAAGAUUUCUCCCAAAGUUAUGGAAUGAGCCUUAACAAUGAGCAUCUUCUCACUAAAGGAAUGAAAACGAUGCCAUCACAGUGAAUACAGCAUAUGAAAAGGAAGGAGUAUAUACUUCAUCCCAGAAGUUAGCACUGCUGUCAUUCUGUAGGCUAUAGGAAGGCACUAUGAAUAGAUCUUUCCACAGAUAUUUGGAGGAAGGAUUUGAAAGAAGAAAACAGUGAGUUUUCAGAUGUUUCCAGAAGAAUUUUAUUCAAAGAAGAUCAUAACAUGGAAGAAGAUAGACUAUACUGAUAAAUUAAUCUGAAACAGAAGGAACUAUGAAUAAAACAAAUCUCCUUGAAGAUAACUCUUAGGAGUCUCAUAUGUACUUAAAUAAUAAAAAUGCAGAGAUGUAACUUAAAGACUAGAAUUUCACUUGUAGCAUUUUAGUCUGGUGACAAUUACAGCAGUGUGAAGUCUAAACUUUC